rnacentral:misc_RNA from 2 species
AGAAAUAGAUAUACUACAGUUUAAAAUAGUAUAUUUUAAUUUCAUUAUUAAAGUAUAGAUGUUAUAUAUAAAGUAAAUAAGAUAUUAAAUAAUUAUAAACUAAAGUAAAUAAAAUAUUGAGCGAUUAUUAAAAAGAUAUAUAUAUA